UACGAAGGGGGCUAGCGUUGCUCGGAAUCACUGGGCGUAAAGGGUGCGUAGGCGGGUCUUUAAGUCAGGGGUGAAAUCCUGGAGCUCAACUCCAGAACUGCCUUUGAUACUGAAGAUCUUGAGUUCGGGAGAGGUGAGUGGAACUGCGAGUGUAGAGGUGAAAUUCGUAGAUAUUCGCAAGAACACCAGUGGCGAAGGCGGCUCUCUGGGCAGAUACUGACGCUGAGACGCGAAAGCAUGGGGAGCAAACAGGG
rnacentral:rRNA from 1 species